rnacentral:rRNA from 1 species
CUUCGGCCAAUGGAAGGGAAGGACAGUGGCGGACUGGUGCGUAACACGUGAGUAACCUGCCCCGAAGAGUGGAAUAACACAGCGAAAGUUGUGCUAAUACCGCAUAACAUGGUUGUACCGCAUGGUGCUGACCAUCAAAGAUUUAUCGCUUCGGGAUGGACUCGCGUCCGAUUAGCUAGUUGGUGAGGUAACGGCUCACCAAGGCGACGAUCGGUAGCCGGACUGAGAGGUUGACCGGCCACAUUGGGACUAAGACACGGCCCAGACUCC